rnacentral:misc_RNA from 1 species
UCUUCUUUGCCUCUUUUCCU